AAUGGUGGGAAGAGGUAAUUAUGGUUGUAAUCAGGGAUACACAAAUCUCCUCUGAUUAACUGCAGCACUUUAUUCAAAUUGCUGUUAUAAAAUUCAGAACAAUUCGCCUGUAAUGAUUAUGGACUGAGUUUAUUUUGGGAGGUGGAAUAAAAGUGGAUAUAGCAUAAAUUAUCCUCUAAUUAUACACUAGUGUCGCCUCAAUUAUCCUCUUAUCAAAAAUGGUUGUCUAAAUGCAGCGUUUAGUUUCAGUUCUCUCCAUUUCUAUAACAAGAACUUCAUACCUUGCUAUUAUUAUUAGGGUUAUUAUUUACUAAGGGAUUUAAAACUGCACAGCUAGCCAGGAUAACCAUUUUUCAAAGAGGACCAAGGCAAAAGCAGGCUGCAAGGCUCAACAUAGACCUGAGGCUGCAUCUUCUUAACGCUGUCCCGAUAUUUUUGCAACCAAUACAUUACAGAAGACGACUGUGUUGGUUGCGCUUUGUCACGACAAAGGAACCAACGUUUCAAAGAAACAGGAGAGUCACUGCAAUAAAACAAAAGGAAAUAAUCAAGACAAAAGAAAAUGACAACUUAUCUUAAAGCAAUGAGCACUACAGUGAACUUUGUUGGAAUUCUCAUCAUGUGAUAAUUUUACAAAAAUAAACAAAUGGACAUGA